rnacentral:ncRNA from 1 species
UUAAAGACGAUGAAGAGGAUCAGUAAAUAGUUUAAAUUCUAUUUACAGCGAACUGGAUUUGGUGAGAGCCAGGAUAGAAUAAACUGUUGAAUAUCUCCUUGGAGUUGUAGAGCUGAAAUUUAUGUCAAGUAGGUUAUACCGGUAUUACAGUACCCGUUAUCAUGUGCUGGAGUAUGGAACGUACUCAUUCUUUUGAGUAGGUAAGUACUUAUUGAGGCUAUUAUUGUAAAAUAAUAGUGUAUUAGGGUGGUACCACGUGAGGAGUAUAACCUCUCGUCCCGAUU